rnacentral:rRNA from 1 species
GUCUAUGGCCAUACCAUCCUGAAUGUGUCUGACCUUGUCUAAUGUCAGAAGCGAAGUAGGAUUAGGGCCUGGUUAGUACUGGGAUGAAAGACAACAUUUCUUUAUAGAAU